rnacentral:rRNA from 1 species
UGUGCCAGCAGCCGCGGUAAUUCCAGCUCCAAUAGCGUAUAUUAAAGUUGUUGUGGUUAAAAAGCUCGUAGUUGGAUCUCGGCGGUCUGAGGGCGGUUCACUUGCUAGUGCUACUGCCCUAUAGACCGUAGUUUUGCCAGAGGUCUCAGGGUGCUCUUAAUCGAGUGUCUUGUGAUGCUGGCAGGUUUACUUUGAAAAAAUUAGAGUGCUCAAAGCAGGCUUUUACGCCUGAAUAUUCGUGCAUGGAAUAAUAGAAUAGGAAGUCGUUUCUAUUUUGUUGGUUUUCGGAAAUCGACUUAAUGAUUAAUAGGGACAGUCGGGGGCAUUUGUAUUCAAACGACAGAGGUGAAAUUCUUGGACCGUUUGAAGACAAACUACUGCGAAAGCAUUUGCCAAGAAUGUUUUCAUUAAUCAAGAACGAAAGUUAGAGGUUCGAAGGCGAUUAGAUACCGCCCUAGUUCUAACCAUAAACGAUGCCAGCUAGCGAUCUGCCGACGUUUUUUUUGUAGACUCGGCAGGAAGCUUCCGGGAAACCAAAGCAUUUGGGUUCCAGGGGAAGUAUGGUUGCAAAGCUGAAACUUAAAGGAAUUGACGGAAGGGCACCACCAGGAGUGGAGCCUGUGGCUUAAUUUGACUCAACACGGGAAAUCUCACCAGGCCCGGACACUGGAAGGAUUGACAGAUUGAUAGCUCUUUCUUGAUUCGGUGGGUGGUGGUGCAUGGCCGUUCUUAGUUGGUGGAGUGAUUUGCCUGGUUAAUUCCGAUAACGAACGAGACUCUGUCCUGCUAAAUAGUGUCUGCCUCUCUUUUGGGCGGACAAUUCUUCUUAGAGGGACUGGCGACUCUCAGUCGCACGAGAUUGAGCAAUAACAGGUCUGUGAUGCCCAA